rnacentral:rRNA from 1 species
UACAGAGGGGGCAAGCGUUGUUCGGAAUUACUGGGCGUAAAGGGCGCGUAGGCGGCCUGCUAAGUCGAACGUGAAAUCCCCGGGCUCAACCUGGGAACUGCAUUUGUGACUGCAUCGCUGGAGUGCGGCAGAGGGGGAUGGAAUUCCGCGUGUAGCAGUGAAAUGCGUAGAUAUGCGGAGGAACACCGAUGGCGAAGGCAAUCCCCUGGGCCUGCACUGACGCUCAUGCACGAAAGCGUGGGGAGCAAACAGG